UACGUAGGAUGCAAGCGUUGUCCGGAUUUACUGGGCGUAAAGCGCGCGCAGGCGGCACUCUAAGUACGUCGUGAAAUAUCCCGGCUCAACCGGGAGGGUGCGAUGUAGACUAGGGAGCUAGAGGUCGGUAGAGGGGGGUGGAAUUGCUGGUGUAGCGGUGAAAUGCGUAGAGAUCAGCAGGAACACCGGUGGCGAAGGCGGGUCUCUGGGCCGUAACUGACGCUGAGGAGCGAAAGCGUGGGGAGCGAACAGG
rnacentral:rRNA from 1 species